rnacentral:rRNA from 1 species
UACGUAGGGUGCGAGCGUUGUCCGGCUUUAUUGUGCGUAAAGAGCUCGUAGGCGGUUUGUCGCGUCGGCCGUGAAAUCUCCACGCUUAACGUGGAGCGUGCGGUCGAUACGGGCAGACUUGAGUUCGGUAGGGGAGACUGGAAUUCCUGGUGUAGCGGUGAAAUGCGCAGAUAUCAGGAGGAACACCGGUGGCGAAGGCGGGUCUCUGGGCCGAUACUGACGCUGAGGAGCGAAAGCGUGGGGAGCGAACAGG